rnacentral:lncRNA from 1 species
CGCAAUCAAUGUCAUUAAAAUUCUUCUUUUCGUUAAGCGCUUCCGUUUUUUUUACUCUCUCUCUCUCUUUGCAGAGCUAGUAAAUUUAGUAAAGCAAAAAAAAGAAGUUAUGAUACUAGUUUAAACUUUUUUUUUUUUUUUAAAUUUCGUACGAACGUUGACAGAAAUGAAAAAACUUGUUUGCAAUUUGUCAGUUGAUUUUAUCUUUUUAUGUAUUCCUGUCGUUGGCGAUUUAUAUUACUGGUUCGAGUCCGGAUAGCACACGUUCGCUUCCUAGUACAUAAUAGGUAAGAAUGCGGGAUCUGAUUGAUGUGUAGUUUUAAAAAAUUUUAAUUAGACGACUGUUAUGAUUAAUUGUUUAUAUAUGUUUUAUUUUACACGGCAUCGAAUAGAUUUUGGUAGUAGCAGCAAUGUUAUCCCUACGUAGACUAACUGUAAGUAAUGAUUGAUGUUGUUUAGUUCUGUCGCUACUGGCAACUAUCAAGCGGACUGUGUCGAUUCUGGGUUAAAAAUUUUCGAUUGCGUGACAGAAUGACCACUAAAUGGGUCGAAAGUGUGCCACAGUGACCACUAGUCCCCGCACUGGAUCGUCUACAUCACCUUGACCUACAUACUCCCACCUUUGUCUGGCUGGAAAUGCUCCCAGACCGUUCCAAAAUUUCCCCAAACCUCUCUCGUUUCUGUCAAGCGGGUAGAGAGUUUUUAUUACGAUUUUCGAAGGAAGAAAAGCUUUUUUUAUUGCUCGAUAACGUGAGCAGUAGAAAUUAAAUAGAAGUUACCGCUGUUAAAAAUACUGAAUCCGAUUUAGCCUGGCAGUUCAGUGUGGGAGGAAUCGUUGUUUUUAGUCGACGAGCGCGAACAGAAUGGCCCUGACCUAAAUCGCCAGAUGGAAAAGAUAUAACGGUGUCUGCGUUUCUGUGAGAAAGUACAGAAACACUCCGAUGUGGUAGGGAAAAAUUUCAUUCUCCGGAAGCGAAAAUGACGUAACAAGAUGCUAAAAAGAACGUAGUUUUGUAAAAAAUAAACUCAUUCUGAUGACGACCAUUUGAUCUUUUAGAAUUAUAGAGCGAUACGGAUAGGUGCAACGGGAUCGAGGGAUGCAGUUAAAAAUACGUCACCAAAAAUCGUAAUAAAUCCGAUAGAGAACGAAAGAAUUAUUUCGUGACACCCUGCAGAGGUCGUAUCAUCGAAGGUUAAGUUGACGCAGUUUCGACAGACACAGUUGAACUCGUGUUCAAUCGAUAGAAGUGUUCAUUCGAAGUUAAGGCCGGAAGUUAAAGCAUUUCGGUGCACGUCAAGCAUACUAAAAAAGGUGCUACAAAAAUUAGAAACCAUUCAGAGUCAAUGAAUUAGGAACUACGCAACCGGUGAAGUACACGUGACCGGUCGAUAGGUGUCAUGUGACUCGACGUCCUUCUAUCGACCUUGGAAACGGGGAAGAGGCGGCCGAGGUGACCUGGGAGGACGUGGCGUGAUAUCGUAUCCCCGUCGACCUCGAACAGACUGCCACGUCAUUUUCUGUAUACGAAAUUUUACCCAAAACACAAAAAAGGUUUCUUUGUUUACUUUCGCCGGGGAAAAAUGCGAAAAUUUAAAAAAAAAAAAGUUUAUCUAAAAAUAAAAUGUCUGAAAUCCAGUAAAAGCAGACUCGAACGUUUGCCGAAAUCGGCUAAAAAUGAAAGUAAUCGGCGAAAUUGGCAAAAUAAGCGGCUCCGAAGACGAAGUUACAGUCGACGAGACAAUCAAGGUCGAACGUGCGGAGACGUACCAGGUGCACAGUCACCGAUUCACGCAUUCCCUUCGCUAACGACGCAUUUGCAGCAGUUUGUAUACCUGUACUUUCGACAACUAAAAAAUUUCCAGCUGAUAAAUCCUAUAAUUAUUUACAAGCGUCGACGUUUUUCUCCUUCGCAACGUAAAGAGCGAGCAAUAGUUUUCGCAAAUUUUUUAAAAAAGAACCGAUUAAAAAAACAAAAAAAUAGGAUUCGACCGAAGAGUUAAUCUGAUCGUCUGGGCCUGGCAACAGAACAGACAAUUUCGUCAUUUUAAUUCUCGAUGACGUACCGACUCGGUGUUACUAUAUAUUUCUUCAUAAACAUGUUUAUUUAUCUGGCGGAUGUUAAUAACGAUAAGUUUUACUGAGUCGAAGUAACAUUCAGCGAUUCUGACCUAGUUCCAGGAGGAAAGCGGAUCACAAACAGACCGUCUACGCCUUCCUACUUGUACGAGUUCGCACAUCGAUUGGGCUGGUGGCACGUGUAUGAGAGCGGAGGCGCGACCCGUCCUCACGUGCGCGGCGCAGGAAGGAGAGAGAAAGAGAGAGAGGAGUGGGCGGAGCGACAGGCUGGGGUCUCUGGCGUGAAGGUCAAUACAAAUGACUUCCUCGUCUGCCGCUAGAGCGCGCAGGGUCAGCGCCUAAUCCCUCUGUAGCGAGUUUACUCAACUCUCACCGUUGUCGACCGCAGGGUGAGUAGGGUAUAUUGUUUGGUGCCUAUUCACCUCCCAUUCAGACUUUGACCCGCAAUAUUAACGGUUAAGUGUCUCGACUACUUGUUGCUACUGUUGGCCAUCUGCUGUCUGCAGUUUUCGAAGUAAGUUUUGCGCGUGGACGGUCCACGUUUCCGGUUGUGGUAUCGUACCUUUUCGAGUCUUUCUUUAGCGCUGACGUUACCAUUAAGACGCAUUCGACGGAUCUCGUUCGUAAAUUUUCAUUUGAGUUUCUCCCAUCUGUUUCCACCAACGUGGCAGAUUAAUUUUUAUUGCUCAAUUCAGUUUUUUUUUAACCUAGUUUAGAAAAUAUUAUUUUGGCCAUUCACGUGUAGGUUACUGAAAACUACGUUUUACUCAUUUAAGAAUCUAGAUUAACGUUGAAGUUAUGGAAGAGGAGCAACGAUUCCAUGAUUUCAAUUAGAUACGUAUUGAAAUCAUACGAAAUUAUAAUUUCGGUAACUGUUACUCGUACUGUUAGUAGGUGUGCGACUAUACGAAACUAAAUGACGUUAUACACCUACUGAAGGAACAGUGUUCUGUUUACCGAGUACAGUUUCUUUUUUGCCUUAUUUGGAAUUUUUGUCGUACCUCCUUCGUGUCACGUAUCUACAGAAUGGCGGAUUCUUCAAUAUUUUCACUUCACGUGUUUUCUCCAGCGACGUCCUGGUGUUCGGCCUCCGAAGGUCGUUGUCACCCCCCGGGGCUCUAAGUGCAUGCGACCCAGCGGAAAGGGUUACCGACCCAUUGCGAGGUUGAAACGGGCGAGGGUUGAUGUCCUCUGUUUUCGAUACCUUUGGGGAAACGUUCGAAGCCGACUGCCGAAAAUUUCUCCGAAUCUCCGAGUUCAUAACAAACACCACCACACCAGAAAACAAUCGGACGUCAUUCAGAUUAUACUGCGUCACGCGUGGCAUUUUAUAGAGAACUGACGUCAUCCUACUGUCGCCUCUUGUAAAUUACGCAAAAGCGUGUUAUCGUUACCCUCCACUAAAAAGAAUUUUAUCUAAGGUAGAUUAUGCGAUGGAGUAAAGAUCUGAACAAAGAAUAGAGACUUUUUUUUAACAGAAGUGAAAUUUUAAAAGGAUCCCAUGUCUCAUAGAAUCAUAGAGAAGAGGAGGCAGAUCGGAAGAGC